UGCGAUGCUUCCUGGAGCUAAUCUGAUGCUUAUGAAAGCGAUUUCCUUCUUACAAAAACACCAGGCCCAAACAGAAACUAACCUCAUCCUGCAGAUAAAGAAUGUUUGUGCCUUGCAAGGCUUGUCAAACUCUCUCAGCUACAGCCAAAACUUAAGUAUUUUCCCAGCAGCGAAAGGCAGCUGCUCAUUUGAGGAAGCGGAGUGGGCACACGCCCCCACACUGAAGGCCGCACCUUACCAGACCCGCCCUCUGGGUGCUGGGAUGGCUGUAAAGGAGGAGGACCCAGCCAAGCAGCCAGACUCAUCCCAGCUCCGGGAAGGCUGAGUACACUGAAGGAUUCUGCAGGAAAUGACAAGAAGCUGAAGAACUGUUCCGUUGAGGCACACCAACUGCGACAGGCUCCUGGCUGCGCCCACAUAGAAGCCCCAGCACAGGGCAUGCAAAUGCAAACCUCUGCCUUCCAGGAAACUCAGCAAACCUUCUUCCCUGAGGUAAGACUUGGGAUUGUGGUCAUCAUGAACGAAGCACAGUAACGACUGAGAGAGUCACUGGAAGCCAGUACACACACAGGCACUCUCGAUGAGGCAGCCUCAUGAGCAAUGUAACCACCAUUAAAUACAUGGUAUUAGGAAGCUGCAGAAGAACUACGUUGUUUCAGUACAAACAAGUCCAGAAAAGCCACAGCAUUGUGAGUCAUAAUCACGUUGCAUGAGAGAUUUACAAUUAGCUAAGAUUUUUAACAAAAAAGAACAUGACGAGAUGGUUCCUGGACCCAAACAGAAAGAGACAGUACCUGGACACUAAGAAGAAUCUUCACAAAGGAGGACAAUAAAUAAAUGU
rnacentral:lncRNA from 1 species